rnacentral:lncRNA from 1 species
UUCUAAGACUCACCAUUGUGCUCAUUUUCAACUUAGGCUUUAUUAUCAAGUAUGAUGGUGAAGGAUGUUAUACUCUCGCAUCGAUUUUCUACAAGUUCUAAUAUUGAAGACAAGGAGAGUUCUUCCAUCAGCUUCCAGCCAACAGAGAACAGAGCCUGUUAAAACUCCCAUAAGAGCUUCCAAGGAAGGCAACAGUGAUGGAUUACAGACUGCCCUGGAAGCGAGGACAGGUGCUUGAUCUUAUGGAGGGAACUAUGACAUCCAAGACUGGGCAUUUUUUCCUGCAUAUAAGGGAACACAUUCUUGCCAAAAAGUGGAAUUACAGGUAGUGAAAUUUAGGGUGUUGUUCAGUAAGUGCCAAAUAUAAUCUUUAAAUGA